UCCAGCAGCCGCGGUAAUACGUUCCCGGGCCUUGUACACACCGCCCGUCACACCACGAGAGUUUGUAACACCCGAAGUCGGUGAGGUAACCUUUUGGAGCCAGCCGCCUAAGGUGGGAUAGAUGAUUGGGGUGAAGUCGUAACAAGGUAGCCGUAUCGGAAGGUGCGGCUGGAUCACCUCCUUUCUAAGGAAGCAUCAAGAAUUUCGGUUCUUGAUGAACAAUGAGGCGCUUUUGUUUUGUUCAGUUUUGAAUGAGUA
rnacentral:misc_RNA from 1 species